CCGAGUUGUCGAAACGGGCUGCUGCUGGCUCCUUUCGGGGGGCAUGUGCACGCUCGUUCGCAUCCCAUCCUUCACACUUGUGCACCAUCUGUAGUUCCGAGCCGAUUAUCAGAGGCGUUCGCUCACCUCAAAAGCUUGGUUCUAUGUCAUUUUCGACGACGCUCUAUAUAGUUCAAUAGAAUGUGUUCACAGGCGUGUACGACGUCUGAUAAAUAAUAUAUA
rnacentral:misc_RNA from 1 species